UCCGUUGCCAAUAUGGGAGCAUCGGUAAGUAACGAAGGGGUUCGGUAUGAAAUAGAUUGAACGCUGUGGCGGGGAUGUACAUACCGUCAGACGGCACGGACUGGUCUGGUGGCGGUGGCGAAACGGGUGGAAGUAAUGUACCGGAACGUGCCUAGUAGCGGGGAUAUUACGCGAAAGCGUAGUUAAUACCGCCGCCUAGCCGGGGAAAGCGAGGGGACCUUCGGGCGCUCGCACUAUUAGAGCGGCCGAUAUCGGAUUAGCUAGUUGGUGGGGUAACGGCUCACCAAGGCGACGAUCCGUAGCUGGUUUGAGAGGACGACCAACCACACUGGGACUGAGACGUGAACUCCUGCAGGAGGAGGGCAGCAGUGGGAAUUUUGAAUGAUAGGAAGCCUGGUCCAAUAUCACGUGUGCGAUGAAGGCCUUCUGGUUUGUAAGCACUUUUGGCAGGAAAGAAACGGCGCAGGAUAAUACGUGCAGCUGACGUACCUGCAGAAUAAGCACCGGCUAACUUACGACACCCGCGUACUUGAUGACUCCCGUAGGGUACAAGCGUUAAUCGGAAUUACUGGAGGCGUAUAAACUGUGCGCAGGCGGUUCAGAAGAAGAUGUGAAAUCCCAGAGCAACUUUACGAACACAUUUUUAACUACCGAGCUAGAGAAAAAAAAAGUUGUAUCGGGGAGGUGCGAAUUCCCGCGUGUAACGUGAAAUGCAUGCGAUAUGCGGAGAGAACACCAGAAGUAGCGAAAGCUGGCCUCUGGGAUAAACGCUCAUUAAGAAAGCGUGGGGAGCAAACAGGAUUAGAUACCCUGGUAGUCCACGCCUAAACUUGAUGUCAACUAACUGUUGGGGCCGUGUGGGCAUGACUGCAGCUAACGCGUGCGGUUGACCGCCUGGGGAGUACGGUCGCAAGAUUAAAGCUCAAAGGAAUUGACGGACCCACGCAAGCGGUGGAUAGUGUGGAUUAAUUCGAUGCAGCACGAAAACCUUACCUACCCUUGACAUAUUCUGGAAUCCCGAAGAGAUUUGGGUACUCUUAAGGCGGCGGAACACAGGUGCUGCAUGGCUGUCGUCAGCUCGUGUCGUGAGAUGUUGGGUUAAGUCCCGCAGCAGGCGCAACCCUGUCGUGAGUUGCUACGAAAGGAAGCACUCGGCAGACUGCCGGUGACAAACCGGAGGAAGGUGGGGAUGACGUGGUCCUCAUGGCCCCGCCAUAUGGGUAGGGCUUCACACAUCAUACAAUGGUCCGGACAGAGGGUCGCCAACCCGCGAGGGGGAGCCAAUCCAGAAACCCGAUCGUAGUCCGGAUCAUGAUCUGCAGCUCAGCUGCGUGAAGUCAAGAUCGCUAGCCGUAAUCGCGGAUCAGCAUGUCGCGGUGAAUACGUUCCCGGGUCUUGUACACACCGCCGUCACCAGCGAGUGGGGUUUGCAGAAGUGAUUAGCCUAACCGUAAGGAGAAGGCGAUUACCACGAUAAGGAUUCAUGACUGGGGUGAAGUCGUAACAGGUAA
rnacentral:rRNA from 1 species